rnacentral:rRNA from 1 species
AGAGUUUGAUCCUGGCUCAGAACGAACGUUAGCGGCGCGCUUAACACAUGCAAGUCGAGCGAGAAAGGGCUUCGGCCCCGGUAAAGCGGCGCACGGGUGAGUAACACGUAGGUAAUCUGCCUCUUGGCGGUGGAUAACCCUUCGAAAGGAGGGCUAAUACAGCAUAAGACCACGCGGUCGAAAGACGGUGGGGUAAAAGCCGGCCUCUUCACGAAAGCUGGCACCGAGAGAUGAGCCUGCGGCCCAUCAGGUAGUUGGUAGGGUAACGGCCUACCAAGCCGAAGACGGGUAGCUGGUCUGAGAGGAUGAUCAGCCACACUGGAACUGAGACACGGUCCAGACUCCUACGGGAGGCAGCAGUGGGGAAUCUUGCGCAAUGGGCGAAAGCCUGACGCAGCGACGCCGCGUGAGUGAUGAAGGCCUUCGGGUUGUAAAGCUCUGUGGAGGGGGACGAAUAAGGGCCUUCGAAUAGACGGCCCGAUGACGGUACCCCUUUAGCAAGCACCGGCUAACUCUGUGCCAGCAGCCGCGGUAAGACAGAGGGUGCAAACGUUGUUCGGAAUUACUGGGCGUAAAGCGCGUGUAGGCGGCUCGGCAAGUCGGGUGUGAAAGCCCUGGGCUUAACCUAGGAAGUGCACUCGAAACUGCCAAGCUUGAGUUCUGGAGAGGAAGGCGGAAUUCUCGGUGUAGAGGUGAAAUUCGUAGAUAUCGAGAGGAACACCGGUGGCGAAGGCGGCCUUCUGGACAGCAACUGACGCUGAGACGCGAAAGCGUGGGGAGCAAACAGGAUUAGAUACCCCCGUAGUCC